CCUACGGGAGGCAGCAGUGGGGAAUAUUGCACAAUGGGGGAAACCCUGAUGCAGCGACGCCGCGUGAGUGAAGAAGUAUUUCGGUAUGUAAAGCUCUAUCAGCAGGGAAGAAAAUGACGGUACCUGACUAAGAAGCCCCGGCUAACUCCGUGCCAGCAGCCGCGGUACAACGUAGGGGGCAAGCGUUAUCCGGAUUUACUGGGGGUAAAGGGAGCGUAGACGGCAAAGCAAGUCUGAAGUGAAAGCCCGCGGCCCAACUGCGGGACUGCUUUGGAAACUGCCCGGCUAGAGUGCUGGAGAGGUAAGCGGAAUGCCUAGUGUAGCGGUGAAAUGCGUAGAUAUUAGGAGGAACACCAGUGGCGAAGGCGGCUUACUGGACAGUAACUGACGUUGAUGCUCGAAAGCGCGGGUAUCGAACAGGAUUAGAUACCCCAGUAGUC
rnacentral:rRNA from 1 species